GUGUCAGCAGCCGCGGUAAUACGUAGGUGACAAGCGUUAUCCGGAUUUAUUGGGCGUAAAGCGCACGCAGGCGGCUGAUUAAGUCUGACGUGAAAUCUCUCGGCUUAACCGGGAGCGGUCGUUGGAAACUAAUUGGCUUGAGGCGAUGAGAGGGGUGUGGAAUUCCCGGUGUAGUGGUGGAAUGCGUAGAUAUCGGGGGGAACAUCAGUGGCGAAAGCGGCACCCUGGCAUUUGCCUGACGCUCAUGUGCGAAAGCGUGGGGAGCGAACGGGAUUAGAAACCCCGGUAGUCC
rnacentral:rRNA from 1 species